rnacentral:rRNA from 1 species
GAUGAACGCUGGCGGCGUGCCUAAUACAUGCAAGUCGAGCGAACAGACGAGGAGCUUGCUCCUUCGACGUUAGCGGCGGACGUGUGAGUAACACGUAGGUAACCUACCUAUAAGACUGGGAUAACUUCGGGAAACCGGAUCUAAUACCGGAUAAUAUUUCGAACCGCAUGGUUCGAUAGUGAAAGAUGGCUUUGCUAUCACUUAUAGAUGGACCUGCGCCGUAUUAGCUAGUUGGUAAGGUAACGGCUUACCAAGGCAACGAUACGUAGCCGACCUGAGAGGGUGAUCGGCCACACUGGAACUGAGACACGGUCCAGACUCCUACGGGAGGCAGCAGUAGGGAAUCGUACGCAAUGGGCGAAAGCAUGACGGAGCAACGCCGCGUGAGUGAUGAAGGUCUUCGGAUCGUAAAACUCUGUUAUUAGGGAAGAACAAACGUGUAAGUAACUGUGCACGUCUUGACGGUACCUAAUCAGAAAGCCACGGCUAACUACGUG